AAAACCCAGCAAGAUCGAAGUCGCCAUUGAAGACAAGGAGGAGCUCGAAGAAGCCCGCAAACGCGCUCCCUCCGCCGCCGCCACCUCCACCUCCUCCUCCUCCUCCUCCUCCUCCUCUGCCGCCUCCUCUCUUCUUCAACAGCUAGACCGCUCCUCCGCCGCCGGGGCCAAUCCCGCUUCCAAAUCCCACCGCAUCGGCCUCUCGUCCUAAAACCCCGUUCGAAAUCCUCCACUCGGGAUCUCAUUCAUUGCGCUUUGUGCCGCGAUUCUGAAAAUGGAGGUGGAAGUCAAGCUGCGCCUCCCCGACGCUGCCGCCCACGGCCGGGUCCUCUCCCUUUUCGGGCCCUUCCGCCGCGAGACCCUGAGGCAAGAGAACUUCUUCUUCGACGGCUCCGAGAAUGAGCUCUCCUCCAAACGAGCUGUUCUGCGCGUUCGAUUCUACAAUGGCCAAGCCCGCUGCGUCGUCUCUCUCAAGGCCAAGGCCAUAUUGAUCGACGGCAUUAGUCGCGUGGAGGAGGAGGAGGAGGAAAUGGACCCCAUGCUAGGGCGGGAGUGCGUGGCGGAACCAGAAAAGCUCGGGUCAGUCAAGAAUCGGAUUCUGAAGAAGUGCGAGGAUGAGUUCGGGGUCAAGGGCUUCGUGGGACUGGGCGUGUUCGCCAAUGUGAGGGAUGUGAUCGAUUGGAAAGGGCUAAAAUUGGAGGUAGACGAGACGAACUAUGAUUUCGGGACUUCCUAUGAGAUUGAAUGCGAGAGUUCUGAUCCCGAGGGAGCGAAGAAGUUGCUGGAGGAAUACUUGAAGGAGAACGAGAUAGAGUACAAGUACUCAGAAGCUUCAAAGUUUGCGGUUUUUCGAUCAGGGAAGCUGCCAUAGUUCAUUCGAUUCAUGGAACUUUCGCGUAGAACAUUUUGAUGGCAAAAAAAAAAAAAGCGUUCAACAUGUGAAGAAGUGCGGGAGUGAGUCGAGCUCAAGGCCAUUGGUGAAGGCCACGUGCAAGGGACUAUGCAGGAAGACUCUUAUCUCGAUGCAAUGAUAGUUACAGUAUGCUAUUUGGUUGUUCGAGAAUGCGAGAAUGCAACGAAGGAAGCUUCCCCUCUAUCCAUGAUGGCGCAUGAUUUGGUAAUGAAGUACAUGGAGUCAAAAAAACUUAGUCGAGACCUAAUAUUUGGCGUACUGUCAUUGUUGUACCUUUCUUUUACACUUUCAUUAUCCUAAGGUGUCCGAGGUAUUAUGGUGAUUGUGAACAUAUAAUUAUAUCAUCUGAUUGGAACUAGCGAAUAUUGUUCCAUAUUAAUGAUAAUUGAUGCCCAUUUUAUUAGCUA